rnacentral:rRNA from 1 species
GACAGAGGUGCCGAGCGUUAGGCGGAAUCACUGGGCUUAAAGCGUGUGUAGGCGGACUUCUAAGCACCUUGUGAAAUCCCACGGCUUAACCGUGGAACUGCUGGGUAUACUGGUUGUCUUGAGCCACUGAGGGGCGAGCGGAACAAAUGGUGGAGCGGUGAAAUGCGUAGAUAUCAUUUGGAACGCCAAUGGUGAAAACAGCUCGCUGGGAGUGUGCUGACGCUGAGACACGAAAGCCAGGGUAGCGAACGGG